GGGAAACCCUGUGACCUCCAAUGGUAAAAACUUUGGCCCAAAUGACUCGGAUUUUAUCGAAAAUUUGCACACUCUGAUAUAAAUAAAUGAAUUGCUAGAUAUGCUUUACCUCACUGACCAUGUCCUUUUCCUGCAGUCCAACCAAAUGCCAUUUGUGCAUCUCCCAAAUUCGUCAAACCUACACCAAACAACAACGACAAAUUCAACAUCACCAGCGGACAACCCUUCAGCUUCGACAUCGACAUAGAGUCCAGUUCACCAAGUGAAAGUAUCGUUUCGCUCACCACAAUUAGCUCUGAGCCCACAACACAGCAAAAUAUCACGAGAGACACUUCCUCUGUCCGCUUAUUCCACACUGGACUGUCCUUGACAUCUCAAGCGAACUCACAUGGGGAAAAGCAGAUUUGCUUCUUUGCUACAGAAUCCUCUGGACAAGAAACCGAGCUGCGUUGCAUCAUUGUCACAAUUAUCCAAGAUUGUGUCCCGAUCAGCUACUCGUACAGCCCCAAAGACUUGAAAGCAGAUAUCAUCACGUGGUCAAUUGCCUUCAACAAACAACUUCCUCUGAACUCAACAUCAGGAUUUAUCAGGUUUUGGGAUACUCGCUCAUCCCGCAUGAUUGUAAAAGUCGCUGCAUCUUCAGCAGACAUCCAAGCAGACCUCAUGACCCUUACCUUCAGGCUUUCCCGUCGUGCCUUGCCAAGUGGACAGCCAGUUUACAUCACAGUGGAUGAUGGAGUGGCUGAGUCAACAGAUGGACUCACUUGCAAAGGAUACAACUUCACAGACCAUCCAUUCACCAUUCCACGAACAGCCUACGCUGAAUGCCAUGCCAGUGGUGAUCCACAUUUCAAAUUUUUCAAAACUACCAUUUCUCAUCCAAUGGCACCGGAACGCUGCUCUUGGCCGCACACUGCCCGGCCGACCAACAACGUACCUGGGAGGUUUUCAUAUACAUGGAAACCGAACCCAAUUCCCUUGUUUCUUCUACCACCCGAGCUGACAUCAUGGUUUACGGCAAGAUCAUCAGUUUCAUCCAUCAUAAGGGCACUGAGGUACUUAUGGGAUUGUACCCUGGGGUAGAUACUGAAACACAUUAAUUAUUACAUUUAUUUUUCCCCUCUAUUUCCCCCACUUUAAGUAUCCCAGCAAUGAUGGAAGUGUUCACUUGAUUUCUCCCUUCUCAGAUUGAUCAAGUUCCUGUUGAGCUGCCAUAUUACGAUCCAAGUGGGGACUUCCACAUCUUAUUUGAAAAUUAUCCUGUUUCUGUGCUGUACACCAAGAAUUAUUUCACCGUCAAAUAUAACGGUACUUGACACUCACAACUCAAUAUCUUCAGACACCAAGUACUUACAUCUUUUAUCGUACUGUAAUUAAUUUGGUCUCCCUAGCGGGUGAUGUGACACCGCCAGAUAUUAACUCUUAAGAUGCCGAGCAGAGGCUUUCUACACACUUGGUAACUCCGCAGUGUUAUGUGCUUAUGAUCAAUUGAUUUGGCCGUGUGGUGGUUUGAUGUAUAUGCUCGGUUUUACAGGGGAAUUUGGUUCUGCUGUAGGGCGAUUCCACAGGUCACAAUGCUCAGCAAUACCGCUGUAAAGCAUAACAGGUUGAAUAAAUAAAAACCGGGAUGGGGACAUAGGAAGAAACGAGGAAUAAAAGACAAUAUGUAAACCCGCAUAACUGGAUAGAAAUGGUCUCCACACCCAAACCUUAAACUAAACUGAUCACAUGCAGACCUGGUUCAGUGAUGCAGGUCACACAAAAGAGUGAGAUACGAUGGAUGAGGUGGAGGUUUUAAUGGUCUUUCCUUUUUUGGGAUGUUUGGAGGCCCAACAUGAGUGUGCUGGAUGGGCGGUGCACCCGUUUGUCCGUUCCAGAUGCUCUUGCUGCCAUCGCUCCUCAUCCGGGUUGUCCAGGUGUCGAAUCGACCACUCAAUGCGUGAUGUGAACUGGCACAGACUCUUGGCUUCCCUCAUUCCCCUUUUCUCUCUUGUCUAAGCCAACUAUUGGCUCACCUAUAUAGUCACUGCCGCCCAUCCCUUUGCCGUGAGGCUUCCAUCCCCCCUUUGCUCCCCGCCCCCUACGAUGGUCUUGUAUACACCCCCACGGUGACGAAGUUUCUCACCCACUCAUCGUGCUUCCAUGUGGGGCCGGCACAUGUACACAGCCCAUGUCGAUGGAACGUGUGGGGCUUAAACAUGUGCACUGGCUAUUUUAAUGUGGUUUGAGUGGGGCUGAUGUGCACAAAACCACCAAGUUGAUGUAGUCUUGUGGGACAGAUGAGAAAUAACAAUGGAAAUGAUCAAGAAUGCUUAUUAAAGAGGGGAAAAGAGGCAAACACGGGGUCCAGGGCAACACAUGUCGCUUUUCAUUCACCCGAUCAUGCUCACUGGAGUUACAAAACACUGAACGCAAACGAAUAAUUAACCCCUCAUGAACCCCUGAGUCAUUUUCUUUACUAACAGUAGCAUACUACCAAAGCUGAUCACUUCAACUAGAACUUGAACCCAUACAUACAAUAGGGUCAUGAAAACCCGACUUCCAUCCCAAAUCGAAGUGUGGGACGGGAAUUGAAUGUUAAAAAUUAAUAAACAUGACUGAUAAAACACUCGAUUGAGCACACUCACAUCCCCACACCCCAACCUGACUUCAUCCUGCACCCUAAUCCCACGGACUGUCGUUCUCCCCAGGCUGGCGACGCGUGCAGGUCGAGCUGGAGAGUGAGGAACUUUAUUAUGGACAGAUGUGCGGACUAUGUGGGAGUUAUGACGGAACCCAAGGAGGAAACACGCGACUUCCAGACGGCUCUGUAGCACCUGACCUCAACACCUUCUUGCAGGCUUGGGCAGAAUAACCUUGAGCAACAAACCCCAUCUUCAUUGUUUCUCUUCUCAAAGCUUUUUUUCUCCCCCUCACGCCGAUACCUCUGAUGUCCAUCUCUUUUAUCCUCUGAAGAGUUGAACAUCUUCAAUGUCUCCAUCAAUUAAUUUUACCAAACUUCACCCCCUCACACCCCAAGCUUGUUCACUUUUCUUUUGCUGAACAAUCAGUAAACUGUGUACUUUUAUGAGGGAUGUUUGAUUUUCCACAAUGUUCAAUAAUCAUCCCUGAACAUGUAAUCAGAUCACUCAAUUCCACACUACGAGUAUAAUAUUCAAUCACAUUCCAUCGUUCAUGGGUUUCUUCAUCACUUCACCUUUGUGACACAUUCAUGUUUCACGUUCUCUUCUUAUUUUGAUUGUACUUAUGGUGUUUAAUCUUCAUUUGGUGAAACGAUAAAAAAAAAAUUGUGUGCUUGUGGUUAAUUGUGUUUCUCUUAGCAAGGUAUCAUAUUUGGAACAUGUUUAACUUUUAUAAUGUAGACAAGUAACGGAAAAUAAACUGGUUCAUGCUGUUCCAUGAAGUGUUUCUGGUUUAUCUGUGUGUGGAAGAACUAUCGCAGUUGUCUGUCCUGUCCGCCGGAUCCUUCUUGGCUUCAUCUUGUACACUUACGAGACCGAGCAUUAUUUAUCAGCCAAAGAUCUAUCCCAGGAACCUGUGAUGACCCGCUCCCGCUCAGACAACGAGCAGUCCUAGUUCCGCCAUCUUGACGACCUCUGACCUACCUAGUCCAAGUACGUCAGGCACACAACUCCCUUCACCUUCAACCUUUCACGGCGUCACCAAACACGAUACAUUUUCUUUCAUUUGAAUUCACAUUGACGAAACUAGAACAUUUAAAAAGUGAUUUGUACUUUGGUUUCUCAUAAAACUGCAGCAAAAUCUUUUCAGGGCCGAUUAGUUCCUGUGCUUGGAAUCCAUCAUGAAGGCACCACCGGACGAGCCUGAGCGGUGUGAUUCAUUGCUACACACCUGUGAGGGAACUGUGAAGAUAAAUCGAUGGGAUAUCACAGUAUUCAAAGUUUCUCUCAACCCAUCAGGUAAUGUUGAAAUGGGAACACUCCCACCUUGUCAGAAGAGUCUAGAACAACAAAACACAUCAAGAGAGUCAACUAUCAAGUUGGAAUAUGGAAGAGGGCACACGUUGCUGCGUCUGAUGUACCUAAGUUUAGUGAUGGUCAUGAAUUGGCCAUGAGGGACGGCAAACUUAAACCUCCAUAGUACAACGGAGAUGUUGGCAGACAUUGCUUAAGAAUCCGUGGAUGCCGAUGAUGAUGAGGAUUCUGAUGAUGAAGAUGAUGAUGAUGACGACGACACACUUCAAGAAGGAACAGAAUAUCCUCGUAGAGACAGUGAUGGUGAUUUUGAUUGAAUUGGAUAUACAGUGGCAAUGACUUACAGUUAUACUCUAUACUAUAGUGUUGAUUAGUGUAUCCAGUAGCAUUGUUGUAUUUUCACCAACAUGUCACAAACACAACAUAAAUUGUUUGUAUGUGCAUGUGGUAAACAUUGUUCACAAUCGAUAUUUUAUUAUUGUGUCUAAAGGAGCUGUCACACCUUGACGUUUUAGCCAGCGUAUGGCAACGUAUCAAAAUGUAUGUAAAAUGCUGGUGUACACUGAACUAUUGAUGUUUUAUUUUAAAGUUUUUGGCGUAUUCAUAACGAGUUGAACGUAUGUAUAAUGUAUUAGUAACGUACACAGAACGUUUCGAUAACUUAUAGAUAAAUUAUACCAAUGAAUGCUUAGCAUGUUGUCGGCGUUCACAACGUAUGCCCAACGAUAGUCUAACGUAUGCACAGCGCGGUAGCGUAUCGCCGAUGAUCACGUGGUGUAGCCUAUUAAUAGACUGCCGCUCGACGAUUCAAAUCAUAACUGCACUAGACAUCGAAGUGUCAACAUCACCGUCAUGUCCUGUCACACCUUGACGAUUUAGCCAGCGUAUGCAGAUGUAUGAAAAAUUUGCUGAAUACACUGGCACACGUCGAAUACGUAAUGGUUAAGUUUUGUAUACGUUAAAGAGCAUGCUGAAGCACGCUGGCAUACGUCAUAGUACGCCGAGCAAGUCGACAAAUUUUAAGCAUGCUCAAAAAUUUUCGACGUAUGCCAGCGUAUGACGCACACGUUCCACAUACGCUGGCCAUAAGUUGUAG
ensembl:lincRNA